rnacentral:rRNA from 1 species
CCUGGUUGAUCCUGCCAGUAGUCAUAUGCUUGUCUCAAAGAUUAAGCCAUGCAUGUGUAAGCACACACUGUUUUAAAAGUGAAGCCGCGAAUGGCUCAUUACAACAGCCACAGUUUAUUAGAACUUACAAUCAUGGAUAACUGUGGUAAUUCUAGAGCUAAUACACGCACAAAAACUUCAACUGAAUUGGUUGAAGUGCUUUUAUUAGAACAAAAACCGAACGGCGUUUGACGAAUGUUGAACGUCGAAACUGUUUGGUGAAUCUGAAUAACUAUUUCUGAUCGCAUGGUCUAGCACCGGCGACAUCACUUUCAAGUGUCUGCCUUAUCAACCUUCGAUGGUAGUCUAUGCGACUACCAUGGUGAUAACGGGUAACGGAGAAUCAGGGUUCGACUCCGGAGAGGGAGCCUGAGAAACGGCUACCACAUCCAAGGAAGGCAGCAGGCGCGCAAAUUACCCACUCCCAGCUUGGGGAGGUAGUGACGAAAAAUAACGAGACGAUUCUCGUUUGAGAAACGUUAUCGAAAUGAGUACGCUUUACACACGCUAACGAGUAGCAAUUGGAGGGCAAGUCUGGUGCCAGCAGCCGCGGUAAUUCCAGCUCCAAUAGCGUAUAUUAAAGUUGCUGCGGUUAAAACGCUCGUAGUUGAAUUGUGGUCUUAGACAACAGUCCCCCUACAAAGGUGUGGCACGGUUGCUCGAGAUCUUCAUUCGUGGUUGCUGUUGUUGCUCUUCAUUGAGUGUCAAUGGUGCCUCGAGAUUUUACUUUGAAAAAAUUAGAGUGCUCAAAGCAGGUUGUGAUGCCUGAAUAAUGGUGCAUGGAAUAAUAGAAUACGAUCUCGGUUCUAUUUUGUUGGUUUUCGAACCGGAGAUAAUGAUUGAAAGGAACAGACGGGGGCAUUCGUAUUGCUGCGUUAGAGGUGAAAUUCUUGGAUCGCAGCAAGAUGAACAAUUGCGAAAGCAUUUGCCAAGAAUGUUUUCAUUAAUCAAGAACGAAAGUUAGAGGUUCGAAGGCGAUCAGAUACCGCCCUAGUUCUAACGGUAAACUAUGCCAACCAGCGAUUCGCCGAAGUUCAUUUGUUGAAUGAAUUGUUGACGUAUUGUGAAACAUUGUUGCACCAUGAAUUUGGGGCAAAAUAUGCGAAUUGCAUUGAUGAUGAAAUUAAAGUUUUAAUCGACAAGCACGCCAAACUUAUGGAACAGUAUGAAAAUUUCCAAGAAGAAAAGGGUCGUCUGUUUGAAAUACGUCACAUUUGCGACGUUUUGAACGCGCGACUGUUUGAGUUGUAUGAAUCUGUGAAAGAAGCAAGAAGAGAAAAGUUCCACGCGGGUGUUCGUACUCCGGUGAACAGCGAUUCGCCGAAGUUCAUUUAAGACUCGGCGAGCAGCUUCCGGGAAACCAAAGUGUUUCGGUUCCGGGGGAAGUAUGGUUGCAAAGCUGAAACUUAAAGGAAUUGACGGAAGGGCACCACCAGGAGUGGAGCCUGCGGCUUAAUUUGACUCAACACGGGAAAACUCACCCGGCCCGGACACUGGAAGGAUUGACAGAUUGACAGCUCUUUCUUGAUUCAGUGGCUGCACGUGGACUGGAUGUGAAAAACAUGAUUCUUGUCGUGAAUUACGAUUGUCCAAAUCAUUACGAAGACUACGUGCAUCGUGUGGGGCGAUGUGGUCGUGCUGGUAACAAAGGAUUUGCGUAUACAUUCAUUCAACCGUAUGGUCAAGAGGUCAGCGCUGGAAAUAUUGUUAAAGCUUUCGAAUUGGCAGGCCAAGAAGUGCCGCCUGGUUUGAAGCUGAUG